UCAUAAAGAAAACAGCAAUGUAUUUCAGCUGACUGGCAGAGACGGUGCUAGAAGGGAAGGUUUGAUUUGGAGAGACAGUUGUUGCUGUCAUAGGCAAGCCUGAGAAAGAACUGAGAAAACGUAAUAAAGAGUCAAGACAGACACCAGAAAGAGGCCCAAGAAGACUUGGAUGCAGGAACAGAGGACAGCGAGGGAUGUUCAGAACUCACUCAGUCCGGUUUGGAGAAUGACUUCUCAACCCAAGACUAAGAGCAGCUGUGAGAAAGCAUCAGUUUGGAAGCAUUUGGGAAAAUGUAAAGUGCUAAAGAAGGUUCCUGGCAAAGAGGAUUGACUGUUAUGGGUCAGAGCCAGCUCUCACAAACAGAACAUGGAAAGACAUGAAAACCUGGUGCACAACAAAAUGCAAACAGAAAAGGCUCUCCGCAGCCGGUAAAAGGCUAGCAUGCCACAAAGAUGAAGUUCACACAGGUGAAUGGGAGAGUUGUUUCCUCCGACACAUUGGUGUGGCUGGCUUCCGGGUUAAGCGGGCAUUGUGUCAGGAAGCAGUGCAGCUUGUCAGGGUCGUGUUUCGUGGAGGACGCAUGGCUCUCUACCUUCGCCUCUCCCGAGUCUGUAGGGAGUUGCAGCAAUGAGACAAGACUGUAACUACCAAUUGGAUAGCAUGAAAAUUGUG